rnacentral:rRNA from 1 species
UAAUACGGAGGAUCCGAGCGUUAUCCGGAUUUAUUGGGUUUAAAGGGAGCGUAGAUGGAUGUUUAAGUCAGUUGUGAAAGUUUGCGGCUCAACCGUAAAAUUGCAGUUGAUACUGGAUAUCUUGAGUGCAGUUGAGGCAGGCGGAAUUCGUGGUGUAGCGGUGAAAUGCUUAGAUAUCACGAAGAACUCCGAUUGCGAAGGCAGCUCACUGGAGUGUAACUGACGCUGAUGCUCGAAAGUGUGGGUAUCAAACAGGAUUAGAUACCCUGGUAGUCCACACAGUAAACGAUGAAUACUCGCUGUUUGCGAUAUACAGUAAGCGGCCAAGCGAAAGCGUUAAGUAUUCCACCUGGGGAGUACGCCGGCAACGGUGAAACUCAAAGGAAUUGACGGGGGCCCGCACAAGCGGAGGAACAUGUGGUUUAAUUCGAUGAUACGCGAGGAACCUUACCCGGGUUUAAAUUGCAACCGAAUAUGGCGGAAACGCUAUAGCUAGCAAUAGCGGUUGUGAAGGUGCUGCAUGGUUGUCGUCAGCUCGUGCCGUGAGGUGUCGGCUUAAGUGCCAUAACGAGCGCAACCCCUCUCCUUAGUUGCCAUCAGGUCAAGCUGGGCACUCUGGGGACACUGCCACCGUAAGGUGUGAGGAAGGUGGGGAUGACGUCAAAUCAGCACGGCCCUUACGUCCGGGGCUACACACGUGUUACAAUGGGGGGUACAGAAGGCAGCUACCUGGUGACAGGAUGCUAAUCCCAAAAGCCUCUCUCAGUUCGGAUCGAAGUCUGCAACCCGACUUCGUGAAGCUGGAUUCGCUAGUAAUCGCGCAUCAGCCAUGGCGCGGUGAAUACGUUCCCGGGCCUUGUACACACCGCCCGUCAAGCCAUGGGAGCCGGGGGUACCUGAAGUGCGUAACCGCAAGGAGCGCCCUAGGGUAAAACUGGUGACUGGGGCUAAGUCGUAACAAGGUAGCCGUACCGGAAGGUGCGGCUG